AACGGAGAGUUUGAUCCUGGCUCAGGAUGAACGCUGGCGGCGUGCUUAACACAUGCAAGUCGAACGAGCCUUCGGGCUAGUGGCGGACGGGUGAGUAACGCGUGGGAAUCUGCCCUCAGGAGGGGGAUAACGGCCGGAAACGGCCGCUAAUACCCCAUAUGCCGAGAGGUGAAAUGAAUUUCGCCUGAGGAUGAGCCCGCGUCUGAUUAGCUAGUUGGUGUGGUAAUGGCGCACCAAGGCUUCGAUCAGUAGCUGGUCUGAGAGGAUGAUCAGCCACACUGGGACUGAGACACGGCCCAGACUCCUACGGGAGGCAGCAGUGGGGAAUUUUCCGCAAUGGGCGCAAGCCUGACGGAGCAACGCCGCGUGAGGGACGAAGGCCUCUGGGCUGUAAACCUCUUUUCUCAAGGAAGAAGACAUGACGGUACUUGAGGAAUAAGCCACGGCUAAUUCCGUGCCAGCAGCCGCGGUAAUACGGGAGUGGCAAGCGUUAUCCGGAAUUAUUGGGCGUAAAGCGUCCGCAGGCGGCCCAGCAAGUCUGUUGUUAAAAAGUGGAGCUUAACUCCAUCCAGGCAAUGGAAACUGCUGGGCUAGAGUGUGGUAGGGGCAGAGGGAAUUCCCGGUGUAGCGGUGAAAUGCGUAGAUAUCGGGAAGAACACCAGUGGCGAAGGCGCUCUGCUGGGCCAUAACUGACGCUCAUGGACGAAAGCCAGGGGAGCGAAAGGGAUUAGAUACCCCUGUAGUCCUGGCCGUAAACGAUGAACACUAGGUGUCGGGGGAAUCGACCCCCUCGGUGUCGUAGCCAACGCGUUAAGUGUUCCGCCUGGGGAGUACGCACGCAAGUGUGAAACUCAAAGGAAUUGACGGGGGCCCGCACAAGCGGUGGAGUAUGUGGUUUAAUUCGAUGCAACGCGAAGAACCUUACCUGGUCUUGACAUCCACGGAACCCUUUAGAGAUAGAGGGGUGCCUUCGGGAACCGUGAGACAGGUGCUGCAUGGCUGUCGUCAGCUCGUGUCGUGAGAUGUUGGGUUAAGUCCCGCAACGAGCGCAACCCACGUCUUUAGUUGCCAGCAUUCAGUUGGGCACUCUAGAGAGACCGCCGGUGAUAAACCGGAGGAAGGUGUGGAUGACGUCAAGUCAUCAUGCCCCUUACAUCCUGGGCUACACACGUACUACAAUGCUACGGACAAAGGGCAGCAAACUCGCGAGAGCUAGCAAAUCCCAUAAACCGUGGCUCAGUUCAGAUCGUAGGCUGCAACUCGCCUACGUGAAGGAGGAAUCGCUAGUAAUCGCAGGUCAGCAUACUGCGGUGAAUACGUUCCCGGGCCUUGUACACACCGCCCGUCACACCAUGGAAGUUGGCCAUGCCCGAAGUCGUUACUCCAACCCGUAAGGGAGGAGGACGCCGAAGGUGGGGCUGAUGACUGGGGUGAAGUCGUAACAAGGUAGCCGUACCGGAAGGUGCGGCUGGAUCACCUCCUAA
rnacentral:rRNA from 1 species